rnacentral:rRNA from 1 species
AUUGAACGCUGGCGGCAUGCUUUACACAUGCAAGUCGAACGGCAGCGCGGGCUUCGGCCUGGCGGCGAGUGGCGAACGGGUGAGUAAUACAUCGGAACGUGCCCAGUAGUGGGGGAUAGCUCGGCGAAAGCCGGAUUAAUACCGCAUACGACCUGAGGGUGAAAGCGGGGGAUCUUCGGACCUCGCGCUAUUGGAGCGGCCGAUGGCAGAUUAGCCAGUUGGUGGGGUAAAGGCCUACCAAGGCGACGAUCUGUAGCUGGUCUGAGAGGCCGACCAGCCACACUGGGACUGAGACACGGCCCAGACUCCUACGGGAGGCAGCAGUGGGGAAUUUUGGACAAUGGGCGAAAGCCUGAUCCAGCAAUGCCGCGUGUGUGAUGAAGGCCUUCGGGUUGUAAAGCACUUUUGGCGGGAACGAAAAGGACUGUGCCAAUACCACGGUUCGAUGACGGUACCCGCAGAAUAAGCACCGGCUAACUACGUG